GACGAACGCUGGCGGCGUGCUUAACACAUGCAAGUCGAACGGAGCUAUUUAUUUCGGUAGAUAGCUUAGUGGCAAACGGGUGAGUAACGCGUAGGCAACCUGCCCUCAGGAUGGGGACAACGGCUCGAAAGAGCCGCUAAUACCGAAUGACGUAACUUUUCCACAUGGAAGAGAUACUAAAGAUGGGUCAAACCAUCGCCUGAGGAUGGGCCUGCGUCUGAUUAGCCAGUUGGUGAGGUAACGGCUCACCAAAGCAACGAUCAGUAGCCGGUCUGAGAGGAUGAACGGCCACAAUGGGACUGAGACACGGCCCAUACUCCUACGGGAGGCAGCAGUGGGGAAUCUUCCGCAAUGGGCGCAAGCCUGACGGAGCAACGCCGCGUGAGUGAAGAAGGUCUUCGGAUCGUAAAGCUCUGUUGUCGGGGACGAAAGGAAAGGGGAGGCAAUG
rnacentral:rRNA from 1 species